rnacentral:lncRNA from 1 species
ACCUGUGUCCACUACAACAAACAGUGCCUGUUAUACAACGUGUCAGCCCCAAGCUCUCUUCAGUGCCCAGGAGAGCCAGGGUCUUCUCCUCUUGCUGUCCGAUGGCUGGCAUCUCUGGGGCAUGUAGCUCAGUCAUCGCCAGCUGCUGUGAGUUAUUCCCAUCCAGCCACAAAGUCUCCCAGCUGGACUCACUUCUGAAACAUCUGCCCAGUCCCCCGUGUGAGCUGUGGGGCUGCAUCCUGUGAAGGAAACAAGCUCCCACCAGCAG